rnacentral:rRNA from 1 species
AGAGUUUGAUCCUGGCUCAGGAUGAACGCUGGCGGCGUGCCUAAUACAUGCAAGUGAAACGGGUAUCUUCGGAUACCAGUCGCGGACGGGUGAGUAAUACAUAGGCAACCUGCCUUUAUGAGGGGGAUAACCGAGGGAAACUUUGGCUAAUACCGCAUGAAGACUCUAAGGCAUCUUAGAGGGAUAAAAGUUGGGAAGCAACGCAUGAAGAUGGGCUUAUGGCGCAUUAGCUAGUUGGUGAGAUAGAAGCCCACCAAGGUAAUGAUGCGUAGCCGACCUGAGAGGGUGAACGGCCACAUUGGGACUGAGACACGGCCCAAACUCCUACGGGAGGCAGCAGUAGGGAAUUUUCGGCAAUGGGGGGAACCCUGACCGAGCAACGCCGCGUGAAGGAAGAAGGUUUUCGGAUUGUAAACUUCUGUUAUAAGGGAAGAACGGAUUGGAUAGGGAAUGAUCUGAUAGUGACGGUACCUUAUGAGAAAGCCACGGCUANNNACGUGCCAGCCGCCGCGGUAAUNC